rnacentral:rRNA from 1 species
AGCGAACGCUGGCGGCAGGCUUAACACAUGCAAGUCGAACGGACCCUUCGGGGUUAGUGGCGGACGGGUGAGUAACACGUGGGAACGUGCCUUUAGGUUCGGAACAACACAGGGAAACUUGUGCUAAUACCGGAUGUGCCCUUCGGGGGAAAGAUUUAUCGCCUUUAGAGCGGCCCGCGUCUGAUUAGCUAGUUGGUGGGGUAAAGGCCUACCAAGGCGACGAUCAGUAGCGGGUGUGAGAGGAUGGCCAGCCACAUUGGGACUGAGACACGGCCCAAACUCCUACGGGAGGCAGCAGUGGGGAAUCUUGCGCAAUGGGCGAAAGCCUGAUGCAGCCAUGCCGUGUGGAUGAUGAAGGUCUUAGGAUUGUAAAAUCCUUUCACCGGGGACGAUAAUGACGGUACCCGGAGAAGAAGCCCCGGCUAACUUCGUGCCAGCAGCCGCGGUAA